AAAAUGUGGUAUAAGGCUUUGCCUAUUA
rnacentral:sRNA from 1 species